GUGGCCUACGGGACGCAGCAGUGGGGGAUAUUGCACAAUGGGGGAAACCCUGAUGCAGCGACGCCGCGUGAGCGAUGAAGUAUUUCGGUAUGUAAAGCUCUAUCAGCAGGGAAGAAAAUGACGGUACCUGACUAAGAAGCCCCGGCUAACUACGUGCCAGCAGCCGCGGUAAUACGUAGGGGGCACGCGCUAUCCGGCUUUACUGGGUGUAACGGGAGCGCAGCCGGCAGCGCAAGUC
rnacentral:rRNA from 1 species